AUGGUGAUGCCCAGGCUGCUGAAGCUGCUUAUGGUGUCCAUGUGGCUGGGAUCCAGUUUUGCCCAGAAGGUGACUCAGGCCCAGCCAGCCAUGUGGGUGCAGGAGAAGGAGGAUGUGAGCCUGCUCUGCUCCUAUGACACCAGUGCUACAAAUUAUGAUCUCCUCUGGUACAAGAAGCCCAGCAGUGGGGAGAUGGUCUUCCUCAUCCUUCAGAACUCUGACAGCCAGCAAAAUGCCACAGAAGGUCGCUACUCACUAAAUUUGCAGAAGGCAAGCAAAUCCAUCCAGCUUGUCAUCUCAGCCUCACAGCUGGGGGACUCAGCGGUGUAUUUCUGUGCACUGAGAGAGGUCAUAGUGGGAGGACUGUUGGAGGGAGGUACACAAAAACCCAGGAUCUGCCUGACACACCCACCUGCUGGAGGGACCAAGGCAGGAAGUGGCAGGUCUGUGUCAGCUCAUGUCUGGGGUUAG